rnacentral:ncRNA from 2 species
AACGUGCUCCGGGGUCGGUGAGAAUCCGAACCGGCGGUGACAGUCCGCGAGCCAAGGCAUCAGCAUCCGAUCGGGUGCCGCCGCGGCCGAUCCGGUGGAAUUCCGGGACCGACGGUGAUGCGAUGGGAGGCCAUCGCUAGUCCGGAAGGGAGGCAGCACGAA